rnacentral:rRNA from 1 species
GACGAACGCUGGCGGCGUGCUUAACAUAUGCAAGUCGAACGGGCCCGCUCUCUUUUUUGGGGGUGGGUUGAGUGGCGAACGGGUGAGUAUCACGUGAGUAACCUGCCCCCUGCUCCUGGAUAACUGCUUGAAAGGGCGGCUAAUACGGGGUGUGCCGGCUGGUCCGCAUGGGCCUGGUCGGGAUAGUUUCAUCUUCGGGUGUUUCGGUGGGGGAUGGGCUCGCGGCCUAUCAGCUUGUUGGUGGGGUGAUGGCCCACCAAGGCGGUGACGGGUAGCCGGCCUGAGGGGGUGGGGGGCCGCACUGGGACUGAGACACGGCCCAGACUCCUGCGGGAGGCAGCAGUGGGGGGUAUUGCACAAUGGGCGGAAGCCUGAUGCAGCGACGUCGCGUGAGGGAUGGAGGCCUUCGGGUUGUGAACCUCUUUCUCCGGUGGUGAAGGCCCUGUCCGUUGCGGCGGGGUUGACGGUAGCCGGGUAUGAAGCGCCGGCUAACUACGUG